GACGAACGCUGGCGGCGUGCUUAACACAUGCAAGUCGAACGGUGAAGCGCCUUCCUUUUUGGUGGGUGUGGAUGAGUGGCGAACGGGUGAGUAACACGUGAGUAACCUGCCCCCUUCUUCUGGAUAACCGCAUGAAAGUGUGGCUAAUACGGGAUAUUCUGGGUCUGUCGCAUGAUGGGUCUGGGAAAGAUAUUGUUUCGGUGGGGGAUGGGCUCGCGGCCUAUCAGCUUGUUGGUGGGGUGAUGGCCUACCAAGGCGGUGACGGGUAGCCGGCCUGAGAGGGUGGACGGUCACACUGGGACUGAGACACGGCCCAGACUCCUACGGGAGGCUGCAGGGGGGAAUAUUGCACAAUGGGCGCAAGCCUGAUGCAGCGACGCCGCGUGAGGGAUGGAGGCCUUCGGGUUGUGAACCUCUUUCGCCAGUGAAGCAGGCCUGCCUCGUUUGUGGGUGGGUUGACGGUAGCUGGAUAAGAAGCGCCGGCUAACUACGUG
rnacentral:rRNA from 1 species